rnacentral:misc_RNA from 1 species
GACAUUAGGUGCUUCUCAGAAGCCUGCACAAAGUGAGCUUAAGAUAAGUAGUCGAAUAAUGAAUAAAGGAAUUAAUGCAGUGUACCAUGUUCUUGAUCAUUAGAUUUGCUAUAAUUAGAAUACCUGUUAGAACAUUAUUUCCACUAUCUCGAGUUUGAGUUUAAGUCGGGGCCAUUUAUAUAUAUAAAAAGAAAAAGAAAACUCGGGACCAUUUCCAAUUUGGACGUUAAGGAAUGAUCUCUACCUGGACAUAUCCUGUGAAUUUCUAUAGCUCAUUUUUGUCUAUUUUGCAGCUAAGACAGAUUGUGGAACCCCUUAAUAACCAAAAUUUGAUCUAUAUCAUCAAUUUCAUUCCUUUGUGUAAAUUUCAAAACACUAUUUGGAGGGAAAUAUUUUUUUUUUUCCUUCUGUUUUUUAUUUGGACAAGUAAAAGAGAAAAAGAGAGGAGGUUCUUGGUAUAUUAAAGUAUACUUACAUCAUUCAGCUUAGCUUGGCUGUUGGUCUCCAACAUAAGCCCAAAAUGAAUGUGAGGGUAAUGUGCCCAAUUUUUGGCAGCAGUACUGAAUGCUUCUCUGUGGCUGAUAUCUGGGUUAUUUGCCUUGAUCCUCUGAAUCUCUUCUCUACACAAAACAUUUAAAUUUCGUUCAUAAAAUAAAAUAAAAAAAAAUUAACAAAGAAAUUCCAUAGCAAUGAAUAAAGGUGUCAUCAGGAGAAAGAUCAGAAAAAUUCAAGAGACUGUGGAUUGCAGUACUUUAUGAACUGGUUAUAUGCAGAAGGUACUCGCUGCCUCUUCUCGGGAGGUCGAUUAACGACCCUGUCCUCAGAAACAUUACUUGCUGGGGCUCGCAUUGAGAUCUUGUUAUUGCACUUGGAUGAGGAACCCAAGUCAAUUCUGUAAGCGGGAAUGCUGUAGUUGGGUGCCUGAGCAUCUUGCCAUGAAAGUGACUGAAAGGCAGCUGCCAUGUUCACGGACCAUAGAUUGGUGCAGUGCCCACAUCGGACGGUUACGAUGUCAAACAAGCUACUACAAGGUACACUCACCUGCACAGAAUAACUCCAUUAAUAAUCAAGUCGAUCUCCAAGGAAGAAGUCUACUUGUAUUAAUUUUCUUGUAUGCAGUGAAACUGAGAGUUAACAAGAAAGAAAAUCCAAUUAGAUAUUGUUUUUCUUCGAUUCUCUCUGUUGAUCCAACGAAAAGAAAGAUCAAAAGCAAAGAAGAAUGGGUUCUUGAAAAAAGUCCGUAUACGGAUGGCUAGCUUCUUUCCGAGAUGAAAAAUUCUAAUAGGGUUGGAUUAAUUAGCUAGAGCUGGGCGAAAAGUUCUAAAAAAAAUGGGUUAUUUGAUGUAAAACAAAAGGGCUAGAAUUUAUCAAAUGUGAAGAAUGAUUUAUCUUUCUUGGUUUGGUUGUCAUGUUUAGAAGAAGAAUUGCCCAAACUGAGAUCUUCAUUUUCUUUUCCUUAUCAGCUAAAGGAGCAGCACUUUGAUGGUGCAGUAGGAUAUUAGCAAGGGAAAGGCAAGUCACAGAGAGAGAGAGAGAGAG